GACGAACGCUGGCGGCGUGCUUAACACAUGCAAGUCGAACGGAAAGGCCCUGCUUUUGUUGGGUGCUCGAGUGGCGAACGGGUGAGUAACACGUGAGUAACCUGCCCUUGACUUUGGGAUAACUUCAGGAAACUGGGGCUAAUACCGGAUAGUAGCUCCUGCUGCAUGGUGGGGGUUGGAAAGUUUCGGCGGUUGGGGAUGGACUCGCGGCUUAUCAGCUUGUUGGUGGGGUAGUGGCUUACCAAGGCUUUGACGGGUAGCCGGCCUGAGAGGGUGACCGGCCACAUUGGGACUGAGAUACGACCCAGACUCCUACGGGAGGCAGCAGUGGGGAAUAUUGCACAAUGGGCGGAAGCCUGAUGCAGCAACGCCGCGUGCGGGAUGACGGCCUUCGGGUUGUAAACCGCUUUCGCCUGUGACGAAGCGUGAGUGACGGUAAUAGGUAAAGAAGCACCGGCUAACUACGUG
rnacentral:rRNA from 1 species